GCACCUGACGUGUGAGCGUGCGUGUGUGUGUGUGUGUGUGUGUGUGUGCGCACGUGUCUGUGCGCGCGUGCA
rnacentral:miRNA from 1 species